rnacentral:lncRNA from 1 species
CGGCGCCCAGGCCCCCUUUGUCCCCCCCCCCACCGCUCUGACCUACCCCUCCCACCCCCACCCGUGAGAACCAGUCGGCGAGUGAGGUCACGCUUCCCUGUGACGUCAUAGCUCCCCACCUAGCCAGGUGGCCUCAACCUGUUUCAGCGCCGGAUAGACUCUGGGCUUGUCCCUGGGACCCUGGGAUAGACCCUGGGCUUGUGCCUGGGACCCUGGGAUAGACCCUGGGCUUGUCCCUGGGUCCCUGAAGUUAAGAGGGAAGCAUGGGGUCGCCUUUAUUUAUUCAACAAGGAAUCUUGACACACCUUCUACGGAUCAACACGACAAACAGGCAUGAGGGGUCUAUGGUGUGCCCUUCCAGCAGAUCAGUUCCUAACGCAUGCUGCGGCCUGUUCCAAAGACAAGAUUGUUCUCUGCCUUGAUAAGAUCCCAGAAUUCAAACCAGGAGAGUCUGAACACAACAAGAAGAAAAAGAAAAUUGGAGCGGAGCCCUGGAUAUCUAUUAAAAAUAAAAGCGGAGGGCCAGGCGUGGCGGCUCACGCCUGUAAUCCUAACACUCAGGAGGCUGAGGCAGGAGGAGCGCUGUGAGUUCGAGACCAGCCUGAGCUACACAGUGAGUUCCAGGUCAGUCUCAACUACAUAGGGAGACCCUGUCCCAAAAAACCAAAAUAAAUAAAUAAAAGUGGAGGGACGGGGAUUUCGCUCCGUCAUGCCACCGCCUGCCUCACAAGCAUAAGGAAGUUCUUGGUACCAAAAAAAUAAAUUAAUGACAUUAAAGUGGAGUCAGGUGUGGUGGCUCACACUCGUAAUCCCAGGACUGGGGGUAGGGCGGUGGGCUGAGGCAAGAUUGCUGUGAAUUUGAGAUCAGCCCGGGGUUUACAUCAAAACCUUGUCUCAAACAAACAAACAAAAAAUAGCGGCUGCAGGUAGGGCUUAGUGGUGGACUCUGUACUUACCCUGUGUGAAGACCUAGGUUCAAUCCUCAGCACCAAAUGAAAAAUCGAGUAGUCUUAUGUGUACUGGUGUGAAACUGAUUUCAACAUCACAUUACAUUGCCGGGUGUGCACAGUGGCACACGCCUGUAACCCCAGCCCUCAGGAGGCUGAGGCAGGAGGAUCCUCACAAGUUCAAGGCCAGCCUGGGCUACAGAGUGAGAUUCUUUUAUCUCAAAAAAGAAAGAAAAAGAAAGAAAAAGAAAAGAAAAUGUAAAAUGUGUGCUGUUUUUCUCCAUUUCUGAGUGUAUUUUUAAGGGCUGUAUUAAUACACACACAUUUGCCUGUGGCCUCACGAGCCACCUCCGGGAAAAGGCAUGAGACACUCGUCACAGCUGUCACCCUCAGGGAGGAGAGCUGAGAGGCAGAAAAAUUAGGUAAGAAAGGCCCUGCUUUGUACAGCAUACCCUGGGGAGCUAUUUGAAAAUUUUAGCUUGUGCUAAUUCAAAAAACUUACAGACAUGAAAAAUAAAAGCUAGCAAAUUACUUGACUUCUGGGUAUAAAUUGGUUCUUGCAGUGAUGAUGAUAAUAAUAUUAGUUAAUAAUAGAAAAAUAUUAACAGAUAGCAAGCCUGGUAACACAUGCCUGUAAUCCCAGCUUUUGGGGAGGCUGAGGCAGGAAGAUCACAAGUUCCAGACCCGCUUGGGCAAUGUAAGGAAAUGAAAACUAAAAAAGGCUCAGAAUAUAGUUCCAUGGUAGACCACUGGCCUAGCACAUGCAAGAUCUUAGGUUCUAUGUGCCAAAACCGAAACCAAAAAAUAGUUUACUAAAUAAAUACUCUAUUUGCAGUGCAGCAGAUGGGACCCAGGACCUUGAACACUCGAGGCCAAUGCUCUAGCACUGUAAUGUUAUUAACGUACAUUUCUGGGCCAGGAGUGGUGGCGCUCGCCUGUAAUCCCAGCACUUGGGAGGCUGAGCCAGGAGGAUCAUCAUGAGUUUGAGGCCAGUCUAGGCUACACAGUGAGUUCAAGGCUGGCCUGAACUACAAAGCAAGAUCAGGGGUCAAAAUGAAUAAAUAAAUAAACAGUUGUUUUGUUUUGUUUUUUUAAUUUAAAAGGCUGGGGAUGUAGUUCAGUGCAAAGGCCCUGGGUUCAAUCCCCAGUACUGAACACACGGACAUACACUCAGACACACACAUUUUUUUUUCCUCAUUGAGUUUAUUGGUACAUUUUAGGUAUACAGUACAGUUACAUUCAUUGUUGGGAUCUUGUACCUUUACAUGACAGGUUUUUGUUUUUCUUUUUUGAGACAUAGUCUUGAAACAUAGUGCAGGCUAUUCUUUUUUUUGCCAUACCAGGGAUCGAACUCAGGACCUUGUGGUUGUGAGGCAGGUGUGGUGCCACUGAGCUAAAUCCCUGGCCCCACUAAUCUUGAACUUGUGGCAAUGAGAAUGCCUCAGCCUUCUGAAUCCUUAAAUUAUAGGUGUGCACUGCCGUGCUCAGCUGUACAUGUUUUAUCCAACAAAUUGAGCUUCACUAUAGAUAGAUAUAAAUAUAGAUAUAGUAAUAUUAUAUAUAUAUUUGUACCAGGGAUCGAACUCAGGACCUCACACUUACCAGGCAGGCACAGUGCCACUGAGCUACAUACCCAGCUUGAGCUUCAAUUUAUAUUAAGAA